rnacentral:rRNA from 1 species
CAUAGCUUUUAAAAUAAUUAAAAGUGCAACCUGCCCAUUGAUUUAUUAAUAAAAAUAAUAAAAAAUUGAAAAUAAAUUUAAAGGACGCGGUACCUUGACCGUGAUAAUGUAGCAUAAUCACUCGCCAUUUAAUUAAUGGAUAGUAUGAAUGGUUAAACGAAUAUAACACUGUCUCAAAUAAAAAAUCUAUAAAAUUGAAAUAAUAGUAAAGAUGCUAUUUAAAAUUGUAAGACGAGAAGACCCUAUAGAGCUUAACUACAUUUAUUUAAUUAAAUAAAUUGGUAGUUUAGUUGGGGCGACUACCUUUUAAAUAUAACAAAGGUAAUCAAAAUUAAUUAAUUAAUUUAUUGUUUAAUAUAUAAAUUUAACAAUUAUUAAAGUAGGAAAUAUUGACCCGUUAAUUAUAAAAAGUUUUAUUAACGAUUAAUAAAUAAAAGCUACCUUAGGGAUAACAGGAUAAUUCUGUUUUAGAGAUCUUAUCGAAUACAGAGUUUGUCACCUCUAUGUUGAAUUAAGAUAUCCUGAAAAAUGUAGAAAUUUUCAAAGGUAGGUCUGUUCGACCUUUAAAAUCUUACAUGA